UUUCUCUUUAAAUAGCCAUUCUCUUUAGAUUUCACUCAUAUGUUAGGCUCUUCCGUUCAUCCACUCUUAAAUAUAUUUGUUUUCCUAAUAAAUUCGUCAUGAAAUGGUUGGACGGCUGGCAAAUAACAUAAAAACACACCGUGGACUUUGAUCUCUCUACGUGUAGCUCCGCAUAUUCGUCGAAUAAAGCGAAUACCUCUAUACAUAUAGCCAGACUUAAAAGCAAAAACACAAUACCACAUACCGACACACAGCAUAUAAUGAAAUAAGCAAGCAAAAGAUACAAAUAUACUUACUAAUUCGCAUGACCAUAAAAACUUACAAAUUGUUAUUUAUUUCGAAUGUAAGUGUGUAUGUACAUACAUAAGUAUAUUGCCGGCGAGAACACCCUUUUAGGAAUUUGGCUGGCGACUUUUUUUGUGAAAUGAGACGAGUAUGCUCACCAGAGACACCAGACACAUUUAUAAAUGCUUGAAAACAACUUUUCCUAAACAGUAAGUGAUCCAGAAAGUUGAAAGCCGAGCUUCUCAUUAUACUAGAAGCAGAGCUCGGAAAACAUUUACCAGAUGCAUCGCAAACCUAUCAGACACCGAAUUUUUGGCUUCUGCGUAGGAAUCAAAGUGCUGCUCAGCCAAAGCGUGUCGACCGUAUCGAUGAAAACAUAUUGUAGGGUGAGGAUCCAGAGUAGAAUUUUGGGGAGGGGGAACUACACAUAUAAUUUUGCACUUGAUUUGAGAAAAUGAGAAAUGUGUAACUGUAGACUAUAAUUUUAUUUUUAAUAUAUUUAUGUAUGUAU